UGCAAAUCACAAUUACAGCAAAAUAGCUAGAUGUUCUUGCACAUGGAAGGCAUCUUAGACCCAGGAAUGGAUGGUCCUUUGAGUUAAUCUACACGUGGCAUGGAAGAGGAUCUGCAUCUACAGUACAGAUCUGGCCUAUCUCUGUCAAGGUCAUCUUCCUAACUCUCUACA